GAGAGCUAAGAGAGGAGGCAUCGUGGUGUGGGGAGCAUUUAAGUUUUAUCGUGGAGGUCGACUACUCGUGGUCCUGAUAUAAACUUCUGUGUGACCUGCAAGAGGACUGUGAUCAUGAUCUCGUCCCUGAAGAAAUGUCAAGUUUAGAAAAAUGUGUCACAUGUGGAGGACCCCUUUCACCUCUGAAAUGGUCUGGUGUGAUGUGUAAAGUUUGCUACGAGUCCUGGCACAAAAAGUGUUAUGUUAAGCACAAGGUGAACAUCACUGAACCUCUGCCAGUGGUCUGUGAAGAACAAAGUUCAAGUGAGGUGGCAUCAUCAGAAAUGUGCCUGAUUCCACAGCUGAUUCAAACAGCUCAUGGGACGGCAUUGCACAGCCUUUAAAAAUCAGUCGCAGACAUUUAGAAUUAGAGUUUUGAGGUGUCCACCAGCAAGCCUGCUUCAAAAAAGAAAAGACACCACCAAGAAAGUUUUGUAGAGGAAGAGAGUCAGUUUCUGAAGCUGCAGAAUCAUUAUCUGAAGAUGCAAUCAGCGCAAGUCAGCUUAAAGUAUCAGGAGUUACUGCCAAAGUAGGAAAUGCUGAUGCUGAAGGCAUAAUUGUUGAUGAUAGCGCUGAUGCUGGGGCUGAACAGGUCUCAAACACAUCAUCCUCUCUCAAAAAUACAUUUGUGGAAAAUUGCAAAGUUUACACGUCACCUAAAACGUCACGAGAAAACACAUGCAGAUGUUGCUCAAGUUUUAAGUCUCCCCAAGAAGUCCAAACAGCGCGAGAAAAUGCUUAUAAAGCUACACAACAAGGGAAACCACAUCCAUAACGCAGAGGAGUUGGAUCGCUAAAACUAAGACGCACAGCAAAGACAAAAUACAAUGCAAAAGACUAUAUUCACUGCAUGUACUGCCAGGCAUUAUAUCUCUGAAGAGAUCUGUGGCAACAUGUUAGAAAAUGUUCUUCAGAACCAGUAGAAGCCAAUUCAGAGAUUGGAAGAAAAAAGGUCAUGUCUUUGGCCUCUAUAAAUGAGUCAGCAAAUAUCCCCAGGUGUUUGGAAGAUGUUAGCUGUCAUGAAAGAUGAUGAGAUAACUGCUACUGUGUGAAGUGACUUCUCUAUUCUUCAGCUGGCCCUGUCAUUUUUGGACAGGAUCCCACCAAAUAUGACUAUUUUCGCCAGACACUCAGAGAAAGUGGAAGACUUCUGCUUACGCUUCGCAAGGAAUUCUCAAUACAUACUCUUGACGAUGCUGUGAGACCUGCAAAUUUUGAUGUGGUGAUCAAAGCUGUCAAGAAAGUGUCUGGUUACAAUGACGAAAAGCACUGCUACCGUACUCCAAGCCUUGCAUUAAAGUUGGGUCACUCACUGGAGAAAGUCAGUGACAUUUUACAUUGCAGAGCACUGAUGGCACAAGACAGUAACCUGAUAAAGUCAACCCAGAGUUUCAAAACCCUCUAUGCUACAAAGUGGACUGAUCUCAUCUCCCACACCGCUUUAACUACGCUGAAUGAGCGCCACUUUAACAAGCCUUCCACUCUUCCUUUUACGGAAGAUGUUCAGCGUCUUCAUCAACAUCUGGAGAAGACUACAGAACAAGCAUUGAAGGACUUGAAAGACCACAGUUCACCAAAAUCAUAUAGUGAACUUUUUAAAGCCACCAUGGCAAAUGUAAUACUUUUUAACGGGAGAAGAGGGGGGAGAUAUUUCAAAGAUGACGCUGAAUGGCUUUCUGGAGAGACACAAGUGCCCUGCACAAGGAUGUCGCUUUUGGACUGACACAAUUUGAACUUCACCUUUGUCAACACUUAAGUCGUGUUAAAUUAAGGGGUAAAAGAAGGCCGGAAAGUUGCAGUGUUACUUUCACCAGACAUGGUGAAGGCCAUAACACACCUAAUAGAGAAAAGAAAAGACUGGUGUUCUGGCAGAAAACCUGUUCCUGUUUGCCAGACCUCAUUGUCCGACUCCCUCCAGAGGACAGGACUGUUUGAGGCUCUAUGCGAGUGAAUGUGGGGCUGAAAACCCUGAGCUCCUCAGGUCGACGCAAUUACGCAAACAUGUCACAACUUUGUCACAGAUCUCGAACCUCAAGAAUCAUGAGUUAGACCAGGUUGCUGACUUCCUUGGCCACGAUAUUCGCGUUCAUCGGGAGUAUUAGCGACUUCCAGAGGCUACUACCCAGCUGGCCAAAAUCUCCAAACUACUGCUUGCCAUGGAGAAAGGGUCCCUCAGAAGCCUUCAAGGCAAAACACUUGAGGAGAUGAAAUCGAAGAUAACCUACAGUUGACCGAUUCAAGUGCAGAGAGUGAGGUCGAUGCUGAGAGAGAGGUCGAUGAAGGAAAUCUCUCAUAUCCACAGACUGAUUCUGCAGAGAUGAAAAGAAUGACGAAACCUGUUGAGGAAGCUCCAGGCAUGUAUUUAUUGUCACCAGAUGGUUAGACUUUUAACAGUGUAACUACAAAUUUCUCUAAGGCUAAGAGAAAAUGUUCAGUUGUUUGAUCUGACACUAACUCAGAAUACAUUGCCAGAGUGUCAGUGUGAAAGGUGCGUUGAAGGCUUUGGUAGGCUGACCACUGGAUUUGACAUACAUGGGCCCUUCAUAUCUAUCCAUGUCACUUCAAAGGGAGGGGACCAGAGUGGUGGGCUGAUCUACUACAGAAUUUAUUAUUUGAUGGAAUGUCUCUUUGUUAGUUACCUGGUUUGCUCAGCUGGAGUGCUCUCUUUGCUCUCAACCUCGUUUUGCAGAAACUGGAUGAGCUGGUCAACUUUCCACUCACUACUGGAAUCUUAUUUAAGCGCAUAAGUCAGCUCCAUGUCUUUUGGUAUAAGCUGUAGUAGCACUGGACAUAGCACGCAUCCAUAUGUGUCACCAUGAACUAUGACCAUGAAGUCCAGGCUGCAAAUCUGGAUUUCACCUUACAAAAACUAAAUUCAUGGUUUAAAGGGUCCAUUAGUUGCUUGACCCCAAAAAGGAACAUCUUCUACUUCACAGUAUUUGAGAAACCUACCUACAACAAAUAAAUGCUUACAGUGACAAUUGUUUUUUUUUUUUUAAAUCUUUUCUUU